rnacentral:snRNA from 1 species
AUCCCUUGUCAUACUCCGAUGUUAACUCAAUUUUCUUAGGGCGAAAGUACACCACGGUAGCUUGCUACGGGGGCUUUCAAGUGUCGCCUUGGUGUUGCAAUACUGCCUUGGCCUGGCACACCCCUC